CGUUUCAGGGCCUCCUUAUCCCCCCCUCCCGGCGGCCGUAGGUUCCUAUCGCUGCCCCCGCCCCCCGGCUCCGCCAUGGGCUGGGUGCGGGCGGCGGGUGAGUGGCUGCGGCGGCGGGUGCGGGGGGCCGAGGCUCUGCGCGAGACCUGCCGCCAGUUUCCGCUGUUCUGCUGCCUCCUGCUGGGGCUCAGCGCCGCCACUGUCCUGCUCAUCCGGUAUCUUCAUAUUUUAAUGAUCUUUUGGUCGUUCGUGGCUGGUGUCGUCACAUUCUAUUGCUCAUUAGGACUAGAUUUUCUCUUCCCAAAUAUUCUUUUUACAGUAAGAUAUAAACCCAAGUUGGAACUGCAGGAACUGUUUCCCCAAGGUCACAGCUGUGCAGUAUGUGGCAAGGUCAAAUGCAAGAGGCACAGACCUGCUUUGGUUCUGGAAAACUACCAGCCGUGGCUGGACCUAAAAGUGCCUUCCAAGGUUGAUGCAUCUCUUUCAGAGGUGCUUGAAUUGGUGCUGGAAAAUUUUGUUUAUCCAUGGUACAGUGAAGUAACAGAUGAUGAGUCCUUCGUAGAUGAACUGAGAGCUACAUUGCGGUUUUUCACAUCUGUAUUAGUUCGCAGAAUUCACAAGGUGGAUAUUCCUUCUGUUAUUACAAAGAAGAUGCUGAAGGCAGCAAUGAAACAUAUAGAAGUGAUAGCCAAAGCCAGACAGAAAGUGCAAAAUGCAGAAUUUUUACAACAGGCUGCUUUAGAAGAAUAUGGACCAGAGCUCCAUGUGGCUUUAAGAAGUCGAAGAGAUGAACUCCACUAUUUAAGGAAGCUUACUGAGAUGCUCUUCCCUUGUAUUUUGCCCCCAAAAGCAAUGGAGUGCAGAUCCCUGACAUUGCUCAUAAGAGAGAUAUUGUCUGGCUCUGUUUUCCUUCCCUCCAUGGACUUCAUAGCUGAUCCGGAUACUGUCAACCAUUUGCUUCUCAUCUUCAUUGAUGAUAGUCCACCGGAGAAAGCAACUGAACCUGCUUCUUCACUGGUUCCAUUUCUGCAAAAAUUUGCAGAGCCUCGAAAUAAAAAAACAUCUGUCCUGAAGUUGGAACUGAAGGAGAUCAGAGAAGAGCAAGAUCUCUUAUUUCGUUUCAUGAACUUCCUCAAACAGGAAGGAGCAGUACAUGUGCUGCAGUUUUGCCUAACUGUAGAGGAAUUCAAUGAUAAAAUUUUAAGACCAGAGCUAACAAAUGCUGAAAAGAAGUCUAUUCAUGAAGAAGUACAGAAAAUCUACAAAACGUACUGUUUGGAAGAAAGUGUUGAUAAAAUUAGAUUUGACCCUUUUAUUGUGGAAGAGAUUCAAAGAAUUGCUGAAGGUCCAUAUGUAGAUGUUGUGAAACUUCAAACUAUGCGAUGCCUUUUUGAAGCAUAUGAACAUGUUCUUUCCCUCUUAGAGAAUUUUUUUGCACCUAUGUUCUGUCAUAGUGAUGAGUAUUUCAGGCACCUCUUAAAAGGAGCAGAGUCCCCAGUCCGCAAUUCAAGGACUAAUAGAGGUAGCCUGAGUUUCGAUGAUUUUCGGACCACACAGAAAAGAGGAGAAACAUUUGCAAUAAGCAGAAUAGGCAGCAAAAUUAAAGGUGUAUUCAAGAGUACUACAAUGGAAGGAGCUAUUCUGCCUAACUAUGGGUUAGCUGAAGGAGAAGAUGAUUUUAUUGAAGAAGGAAUUGUGGUUAUGGAAGAUGAUUCUCCUGUGGAGGCCAUUAGUACCCCUAGUACACCUCGUAACCUUGCUGCUUGGAAGAUUAGCAUUCCGUAUGUGGACUUCUUUGAUGAUCCCUCUCUUGAAAGGAGAGAGAGAAAAGAGAGGAUUCCUGUAUUUUGUAUCGAUGUAGAAAGAAACGAUAGAAGGGCAGUUGGGCAUGAGCCUGAACACUGGUCUGUCUAUAGAAGAUACCUUGAAUUUUAUGUGCUUGAGUCUAAGCUAACAGAAUUUCAUGGCACAUUUCCUGAUGCUCAGCUUCCUUCAAAGAGAAUCAUUGGCCCAAAGAACUAUGAAUUCUUAAAGUCAAAGAGGGAGGAGUUUCAGGAGUAUCUACAGAAACUGCUUCAGCAUCCAGAGCUGAGUAACAGCCAGCUUUUGGCUGAUUUUCUGUCUCCCAAUGGUGGAGAGACUCAAUUUCUCGAUAAAAUGUUGCCGGAUGUAAAUCUAGGAAAAAUGAUAAAAUCUGUUCCAGGGAAGCUGAUGAAAGAGAAAGGUCAGCAUUUGGAGCCAUUCAUCAUGAACUUCAUUAACUCCUGUGAAUCUCCCAAGCCCAAACCAAGUAGACCAGAACUUACAAUUCUCAGUCCCACUUCUGAAAACAACAAGAAGCUUUUCAAUGAUCUGUUCAAGAACAAUGCAAACCGCUCUGAGAAUACAGAGAGAAGACAAAACCAGAACUACUUUAUGGAGAUGGUGACAGUAGAGGGAGUCUAUGACUACUUAAUGUAUGUUGGUCGAGUUGUUUUCCGGGUUCCUGAUUGGCUGCAUCAUCUUUUGAUGGGGGGACGAAUUCUCUUCAAAAACACGUUGGAGAUGUACACGGACUGUUACCUACAGUACAAAUUGGACCAGCUAUUUCAGGAGCACCGGUUGGUCUCAUUGAUAACACUACUAAGAGAUGCUGUUUUUUGUGAAAAUACCGAACCUCGCUCUCUCCACGAUAAACAAAAACGAGCAAAGCAAACCUUUGAAGAAAUGAUGAGAUACAUUCCAGAUUUGAUAUCCAAAUGCAUUGGAGAAGAGGCUAAGUAUGAAGGUAUCAGGCUUCUAUUCGAUGGAAUGCAGCAGCCGGUGCUUAACAAACAGCUGACUUAUGUUCUAUUGGAUAUCGGGAUACAGGAAUUGUUCCCAGAGAUCAAUAAGGUGGCUGACUAAUAAACACGUGCUUUCAAAUUUCAGUAAAUGAAGGACUGUAUUUUUCCCUUAAAGUGAGCCGCAAACAAUUAAAAAACACUUAAAUUCUUUUGAAGAAUUUCAACACUGUUGUGUAUCCCAAGAGCAUACUCCAGAAAUCUGUGAACACCUGAUAGUGAAGUAUCACUGGAACCACAAAGCAAAACUGAACCUCUCCUGCAGGAGGACUGAAGAGAAGAUUUGUUUGGCAGCAACUGGGAUAUAAAGGCUCCCUCCCCCCCAUGCAUUAAACAUUCUUUCACUGUUUUUAUCCUAUUUGAAGAACUAAGAAAUGAGGAAGACCACACACACACACACACACACACACACACACACACACACACACACACACACACAAAACUGUAAGAACCUUACAUAGGAGUAGUUAGGAACCUUACUAAGCUAAUGACAGAACCAAGGUUUGUGAGGUGAAAGAGUAUUUUUGUAUUGGACCUUCUCAUGCUGUUGGGAAAGAUAAAAGACAAGCUUUCAGGCUUCAAGUAGCCUUCAUCAGGUCCCUAUAAUGUGCAUCAUUGAGUUGGCUGCAUCCAAUACCAGUCAUUCAAAGCUGUUAAUUUACUGACAUUUUUUAACUGUACCACUUACAUUUAAUAUUUGGCAUGGGCUUGGGACUCUGGGGAGGCAGAGAACUAAAAGGUUGUUGGAAAACAUCUAUAUUCCUGAUUUAUCUGACAGGAAACAAUCAAUCCAUGUGCCUAUUGAUUGAUGGGUCAAAUCAGACCAUGAAUUAAGUCAAACUUGUUGCACAAGGGGGAGAGUGCUUAAUGGAGCGCAGGAUUUGACCCUCAAAUUUGCCUCUAGUAAAAUAAUGCAAUGCACAUUAAGAAAGAAACAUACCAGAAUGAUGUGACUACUAGCUUUGUUUCAAUAAAACUAGCACCAAAUUAC